UACGAAGGGGGCUAGCGUUGUUCGGAAUGACUGGGCGUAAAGGGUGCGCAGGCGGGCACUUAAGUCAGGGGUGAAAUCCCGAGGCUCAACCUCGGAACUGCCUUUGAUACUGGGUGUCUUGAGUCCGGAAGAGGUGAGUGGAAUUGCGGGUGUAGAGGUGAAAUUCGUAGAUAUUCGAAAGAACACCGGUGGCGAAGGCGGCUUACUGGUCCGGAACUGACGCUGAGGCGCGAAAGCGUGGGGAGCAAACAGG
rnacentral:rRNA from 1 species